rnacentral:rRNA from 1 species
AUUGAACGCUGGCGGCAGGCCUAACACAUGCAAGUCGAACGGUAGCACAGAGAGCUUGCUCUCGGGUGACGAGUGGCGGACGGGUGAGUAACGUCUGGGAAACUGCCCGAUGGAGGGGGAUAACUACUGGAAACGGUAGCUAAUACCGCAUAACGUCGCAAGACCAAAGUGGGGGACCUUCGGGCCUCACACCAUCGGAUGUGCCCAGAUGGGAUUAGCUAGUAGGUGGGGUAAUGGCUCACCUAGGCGACGAUCCCUAGCUGGUCUGAGAGGAUGACCAGCCACACUGGAACUGAGACACGGUCCAGACUCCUACGGGAGGCAGCAGUGGGGAAUAUUGCACAAUGGGCGCAAGCCUGAUGCAGCCAUGCCGCGUGUAUGAAGAAGGCCUUCGGGUUGUAAAGUACUUUCAGCGGGGAGGAAGGCGGUGAAGUUAAUAGCUUCACCGAUUGACGUUACCCGCAGAAGAAGCACCGGCUAACUCCGUGCCAGCCGCCGCCGUAA